ACCCUCUCAGGAUCGCAUCUGGGGAGUUUCCAUUACUCUACCAGUCUUGGCUAUGGGAGGGAGAGUCAAGCAGAGGCAUACCCAUUCCAUUCCUAACUUGGACAGUGGCUAGUGAGCAAAAGGCAAUCUGCUUCAAGU